UAAUGAAACCCUCUUGGUGCCCACUACACAUAAUUUGAGACAUACAGAAUUACCAUAGGCCCAUCAGAAUCAACAAUCUUUGCCAAACUGGAUCCGGACUGCAAAACUUAUGAAGAUGUUUGCAUAAUGAAGAAGAGUCCUUGGACAAAUAAUGAAACCCUCUUGGUGCCCACUACACAUGCAGGGGUGUCCAGACCUGCUCUAGGAAAGCCAGUGUUCUGUGGGGUUCAGCUCUAA